rnacentral:tRNA from 1 species
CAGGAAAUAGUUUAAUAAAAAUAUUAAUUUUGGAGAUUAAAGAUGAGUAUUUACUUUUUCCUGA